UACGUAGGGGGGCAAGCGUUGUCCGGAAUCAUUGGGCGUAAAGAGCGUGUAGGCGGCUCGGUAAGUCCGCUCUGAAAGCCCGGGGGCUCAACCCCCGGGAGGCGGGCGGAUACUGUCGGGGCUAGAGUCCGGAAGAGGCGAGUGGAAUUCCUGGUGUAGCGGUGAAAUGCGCAGAUAUCAGGAGGAACACCAAUGGCGAAGGCAGCUCGCUGGGACGGUACUGACGCUGAGACGCGAAAGCGUGGGGAGCAAACAGG
rnacentral:rRNA from 1 species